rnacentral:snRNA from 1 species
AUCGCUUCUCGGCCUUUUGGCUAAGAUCAAGUGUAGUAUCUGUUCUUAUCAGUUUAAUAUCUGAUACGUCCUCUUUCCGAGGACAAUAUAUUAAAUGGGAACUUAGGGAAGAUCUUAAAAUUUUU